rnacentral:tRNA from 1 species
AAAGGCUUAGGAUUAAACUUCAGACCAAAGGCCUUCAAAGCCUUAUGCAGGCGAUUGAACCGCCUAGCCUUUG